ensembl:lncRNA
UAGUUUCCUUCUUGCCUAACGUCUUAAAGAGGAAGGAAAACAGUUCAGCCCACUUCUACUCUGCUCUGACUACUUGCAACACGUGUGUGUACCAAACGCUUCUUGUUUCCUCAUUGCCAGUCAGUUGUCUUGCAAAGCCACAGCCCCACGUAAUGUAAAGAUACAACAAUGGUCUUGAAAACAGCAUAUAGUCUGUUGGUCGUUUUUCUCUGGUCCGUGACUGCAACUACGGCAAAAGACUGUGGCCAGAUAAUCCAGGUGGUGGUGUCACCAAUUGUUUCCAAGAAGGGAGAGAAUGUAACACUGACCUGUGUCACCAACUGUACUCUGACCAACGCUACCUACAUCUGGUACAGAAACGGUCAACGUCUCGAUGAGCCUACUUCCAGGCAACUCUCAGUAAUAAGUUAUUAUACAUCCAGUUUCUCUUGUUCUGUGAAAGACCAUGAGGAUCUCCAAUCUCC